rnacentral:lncRNA from 1 species
AACUUAAAAAUAGGAAUUUAUUUACAAUAGCAAAGGUGUCAAAAAUAACAGGAACAAUAUAUAACAAAUCCAAGAGUUAUUUUAUGAAAAAGGCAAACAAUACAUACACAAAAGAUAAAACAAAAUCCAAAAGGGCAAACUUAAUGUGACCUUAACAGCUGCAUAUGUGGCAAAAUGGUUUUUCAGAUAUGAAUUACUUAAGUACUGCUGGGCCAAUUCAACACACUUUUUUCAGCCUUUCUUUUUUACUUGCUGAACCUUCCUGUGAAUUCUAUUUACUUUUGAGGAAUGUAACUUUGGGGAGGCCAUACAAGAUUUAUGAAGUACAUGCAGGAUAUUUACAUGUAUACUAAAAGAUAGACUUACUGACAGGCUCACAUUUCAAAAGGGGUAUAAAGUGGUAUGAAAGUGAACGUAUAAACUGAGUCCCGUUUCACCAUCACUGCUUCCUUCUAGGGCAUGUGUGUGUGUUGUCUGCUAUAUAAAAUUAAUGCACCAGUAAUCUUUAUAAAG